GAAAAAGAAAAAGAAAAAGAAAAAGAAAAGAAAAAGAAAAAGAAAAAGAAAAAGAAAAGAAAAAAAAACAGUCUUUCCCUCAUAAAGUAUUUCAGUUUCCAUAAAUGAAUAUACAUCAGAUGUGUGGAGGUGGGAGGUGGAGGAGGAAGAUUCUUUCAAAACCAUGGUACAUAGGCAGGAAGAGACAGGCCAGGGAGAGUGUUCCCCAUCUGAUGAAAGGCAAUGGGGGGCUGAUUUCCUCGGACAUGGAAAAAGCUGAGGUAAUCAAGAAGUGCUAUUCCUCAGUCUUCACCGGUGGUCAGGCUCCACAUGUUUGCCGGGUGAGGCACCCUCUACAUGAAGGUGAGAGGAGUGGAUUCUGACCCACUGCAACAAUGGAAAAAUUCUGAGACCUCGUCAUGACUCUGAAUGUAUAUAAGUCCAUGGGGCAAGAUGAUAUACAGCACAGGAUUCUGAGAUGGCUGAUGUGGUUGCUGAGCCGCUCUCCAUCAUAUUUGAAAAAUCAUGGCUGUCAGCUGAAAUUCCUAGUGAAUGGAGAAAGGGAAACAUUACUCCCAUUUUUAAGAAAGGGAGAAAGGAAGACCUGGGGAACUACAGGCCGGUGAGCCUCACCUCUGCACCUGGGAAGAUCGUGGAGCAGAUCUUCCUAGUUGACACGUUAAGACACAUUCAAGACAAACAGGUGAUUUGAGACAGCCAGCAUGGCUUCACCAAAGGUAGAUCUUUCCUGACCAAUCUGGUGGCCUUCUAUGAUUGAUUGACAGCAUUGGUGGACAGGGUAAGGGUGAUGGAUGCCAUCUACCUGGACUUCUGCAAAGACUUUGACAAAGUCGCUCACCACAUUCUUCUCUCUAAAUUGGAGAGGUGUGGAUUUGAAGGAUGGACUGUCCAGUGGAUUAGGAAUUGGCUGGCUAGAUGCAGCCAAAGGGUUAUGAUCAAUGGUUCUGUGUCAGGGUGGAGGCCGGUUGCAAGUGGUGUCCCUCAGGGGUUGGUCUUGGGACUGGUGCUCUUCAAUAUCUUCAUCAAUGACAUAGACGAUGGCAUCAAGUGCACCCUCAGCAAGUUUGUGGAUGACACCAAGUCAAGCAGUGUAGUCAAUACACUGGAAGGAAGGGAAGCCAUCCAGAGGGACCUGGACAGGCUGAAGAAGUGGGACCAUGAGAACCUAAUGAGGUUCAAUAAGGCCAAAUGCAGGGUGCUGCACUUGGGUCAGGACAAUCCCAAGUAUUUAUACAAACUGGGGGAUGAUCUCCUUAAGAGCAGCCCUGCAGAGAAGGACUUGGAGGUCCUAGUAGAUGAAGCUGGACAUGCGUCAGCAGUGUGUGCUUGCAGCCCAGAAGGCCAACUGUGUUCUGGGCUGCAUUAAAAAAAGAGUGGCCAGCAGGGAGAAGGAGGUGAUUGUCCCCCCCCUACUCAGCUCCUGUGAGGCCCCAUCUGGAGUACUCUGUCCAGGCCUGGGGCCCCCAGUACAGGAAGGAUGUGGAUCUCUUGGAAUGAGUCCAGAGGAGGGCCACUAAGAUGAUCAGAGGGCUGAAGUACAUCUCCUAUGAGGAAAGGUUGAGGGAACUGGGCUUGUUUAGCUUAGAGAAGAGAAUGCUCUGGGGAGACUUCAUUGUGGCUUUCCAGUACUUGAAAUGAGCAUACAAACAGGAAGGGGAGUGGCUGUUUACAAGGGUGGAUAGCAAUAGGACAAGAGGGAAUGGUCUUAAACUGAGACAGGGGAGGUCUAGGUUAGAUAUUAGGAGAAAGUUGUUUACAUAGAGGAUGGUGGUGACGCACUGGAACAGGUUGUCCAAGGAGGUUGUGGAUGCCCUGUUGCUGGAGGCAUUCAAGGCCAGGCUGGAUGUGACUCUGGGCAGCCUGGUCUAGUGGUUGGUGACCAUAUACAUAGCAGGGGGGUUGAAACUCAACGAUUGUUGUGGCCAUAGGGAGCUGCUGCUGCUUGGGGUCUGGAAGGGCAUUGGUCAGCAGGUGGUGAGCAACUGCAUGAUAUACCACUUGAUUUGUAUAUUCUUUUAUCAUUGCUGUUUUAAUUUUCCUUUACUUUUCCACCCCAUUAAAUGGUCUCUACCUCAGUUCAUGAGUCUUACCUCUCUCAAUUCUCUCCUUCGCCCCACUGUGGGGAAGUGAGUGAGUGGUUAUGUGGUGCUGAGCUGCCUGAUGGGUUAAACCAUGGCUGUUGUAAAAGCAGCUAAAAUAAUUUAGAAAAGGUGUUUUACAACAGAGCACAACACAGCACAUCCUGUCUCAGAAGUUCACUGUUGUUUCUGCUUAUGUCAUUUACUUCUCUUGGGUCAAAUGCAAAUAGUUUAUAAAAGAGUAGGUGGAACAGUAAGAAAUAUUAGGUAAAUUUUGGUAUGUGUAUGAGGAAAGACAUGAAAAUCUCUCUAAUUACUUUUAAUUCUUCACUCAAACGAUGGUUGCCUCCCUUUUCUAGCUUUAUCUUCCACAGCUUCCAAGGAACAGAUGCAGUAUUUAGUGAAAGGGCACCACAGGUGACCCCUCCUGCUGUGUCAGCCAAAGCAAGAGAAGCCUCUGUCUCUGUCAUGUCACCUGAUGAGUAGGAAGUAUGCAAGCUGAACUCCCAACAAGAUAGAUACUUUCUGUCCUGCUGCUUGUUUUAUGGAAUUUGCUCAUAUAAUUGCCUUUGGUACGCGACUGUUGGGAACUGGAGAAAAAAGGAUAAAGGGGAGUUAGAUGAAAGAAAACUAAUUCUUCAUUAUCCCCUCCUGGAAAACCUACAGCUGGGACCUUAGUCUAUUUGUAUUAAUGCUAACUUCAGUGUCAUGUUGUCUUUGAGCUCUCAUGUCUUAUAUUUUAAAAAUUUUGCUCACUGGAACAAAUAAGUUCAAGUAUACAAAUGUACUUCCCUCCUUUGCAAAUUAAACAUAUUUCUGGUAAUAAGGUGAAAGUUUAAGCAUUAACAUGAGUACUAACAUAAGAAAUAUUUUGCACAGAUAAAGUUACAGAUAUGCAUUCUAAUAUGUGAAAUUUCGUAAGGUAUAAAUCACAGAGAAAAAGUCAAAAUUCAUUUUGCUAAAUGUACUGAGACUGGAUGCCUGUACCUGAGCUAACCACUUUAAGCUCCCUAAUAGCCAAAGAAGAGCAACAGGCACUUCUAGGUCACAAUUUGUCAUUUACUAAAAAAGGCAUCUAAAGUAGGUCAGAUGAAUUGCUCCGAGAAUGGCUGUUAUUCUCUACCAACUAUAAAGGGAGAUCUGGUUGAUUAAUUCACAUUCAAUGUAGAUGUUUAAGGAAAAUAUGAUGAAUCUCAUUCAGUGAAUCCAGAAUGACUAUUAAAGGACCACAAAACAAAAUAAGAACACUUGUUUUCCUGAUAUGUAGAAACUGAGAAAGUUAGGCAGAAGUUAACACUGACUUUAGGUUCCAAACUAAUUUAGGAAUUUUGGAAUAUUUUAAUAUUGUUUAUUUCUGUGUAUUCCUAUUACAUACUACAAACUUCUUAACACUACAUUUUAAUCUUUUGAUCAUAUUUUCUUCCUUUAAGAACAAUGAAAACCUUCCCCAACCUUAGCAGACUUUUAUGAAUAUAAACCUAACAAAGCAAAGCAAUUCACCUUUUUGUCUAUUAAGAAAGUGCUGUACUACCAAUAGCUUGGGAAACAUAACAUUAAAGACUGAUCUGCUUACCGUCAUAACUUGAUUUCAGUGAAAGUGCUCUAUGAAGACUUUAUCAGAUGAACAGAAGAACUUCAAUCAAAAGUGUGUGUCUUGAAUCUUCACUUUUUGUGGAGAAAUAAUACUGUUCAAAUGUAAUUCUCUGUAGCUGUGACUGUUUCAAUACUGAAAAGAUUACUUCAUUAAAGAAACAAUAUGUUCAAAUGUGAAAAUGAAAAGAUAAUGGAAGAAGAC
ensembl:lncRNA